rnacentral:rRNA from 1 species
UGAGGAACAUGACCUUCGGCGGGGGAUAGCCGGCCCAACGGCCGGGUAAUACCGCGUACGACCACAUGGGGACAUCCCUGAGUGGUGAAAGCAGCAAUGCGCCGAUGGAGUGCCUCGCGGCCUAUCAGCUAGUUGGUGAGGUAACGGCUCACCAAGGCGAUGGACGGGUAGCCGGCCUGGAGGAGGGUCGACCCGGCCACACGUGGGACUGAGACACGGCCCAGACCUCCGUACGGGAGCA